rnacentral:rRNA from 1 species
UACGGAGGGGGCUAGCGUUGUUCGGAAUUACUGGGCGUAAAGCGCGCGUAGGCGGACCUGCAAGUCGGGGUGAAAGCCCGAGGCUCAACCUCGGAACUGCCUUCGAUACUGCGGUCUCGAGUCCGGGAGAGGUGAGUGGAAUUCCUAGUGUAGAGGUGAAAUUCGUAGAUAUUAGGAAGAACACCAGUGGCGAAGGACGGCUGC